UAGUCCACGCCGUAAACGAUGAGCACUAGUUAUGGAGGGUAUUAACCCCCGCCGUGACGUAGCUAACGCAUUAAGUGCUCCGCCUGGGGAGUACGGUCGCAAGACUAAAACUCAAAGGAAUUGACGGGGGCCCGCACAAGCGGUGGAUUAUGUGGUUUAAUUCGAAGCAACGCGCAAAACCUUACCUGGACUUGAAAUCCGGAGAAUCUUCUAGAGAUAGAGGAGUGCCCUUCGGGGAAUUCCGUGACAGGUGCUGCAUGGCUGUCGUCAGCUCGUGUUGUGAAAUGUUGGGUUAAGUCUCGCAACGAGCGCAACCCCUAUCCUUAGUUGCCAGCAUUAAGUUGGGCACUCUAGGGAGACUGCCUGGGUUAACCAGGAGGAAGGUGGGGAGUGACGUCAAGUCCUCAUGGCCCUUAUGUCCAGGGCUACACACGUAAUACAAUGGCCAGUACAGAGGGAUGCAAACUCGCGAGGGGGAGCGAAAUCUCAAAAAGCUGGUCUCAGUCCGGA
rnacentral:rRNA from 1 species